rnacentral:rRNA from 1 species
GAUGAACGCUGGCGGCGUGCUUAACACAUGCAAGUCGAACGGUGAAGCAGGAGCUUGCUCCUGUGGAUCAGUGGCGAACGGGUGAGUAACAUGUGAGCAAUCUGCCCUGGACUCUGGGAUAAGCGUUGGAAACGACGUCUAAUACCGGAUACGAGGCGUGGGGGCAUCCCCAACGCCUGGAAAGAACUUCGGUCCAGGAUGAGCUCGCGGCCUAUCAGGUAGUUGGUGAGGUAACGGCUCACCAAGCCUACGACGGGUAGCCGGCCUGAGAGGGUGACCGGCCACACUGGGACUGAGACACGGCCCAGACUCCUACGGGAGGCAGCAGUGGGGAAUAUUGCACAAUGGGCGCAGGCCUGAUGCAGCAACGCCGCGUGAGGGACGACGGCCUUCGGGUUGUAAACCUCUUUUAGCAGGGAAGAAGCGAAAGUGACGGUACCUGCAGAAAAAGCACCGGCUAACUACGUGCCAGCCGCCGCAGUAAAAC